AUUGAACGCUGGCGGCAGGCCUAACACAUGCAAGUCGAGCGGAUGAAGGGAGCUUGCUCCUGGAUUCAGCGGCGGACGGGUGAGUAAUGCCUAGGAAUCUGCCUGGUAGUGGGGGAUAACGUCCGGAAACGGGCGCUAAUACCGCAUACGUCCUGAGGGAGAAAGUGGGGGAUCUUCGGACCUCACGCUAUCAGAUGAGCCUAGGUCGGAUUAGCUAGUUGGUGGGGUAAAGGCCUACCAAGGCGACGAUCCGUAACUGGUCUGAGAGGAUGAUAGGUCACACUGGAACUGAGACACGGUCCAGACUCCUACGGGAGGCAGCAGUGGGGAAUAUUGGACAAUGGGCGAAAGCCUGAUCCAGCCAUGCCGCGUGUGUGAAGAAGGUCUUCGGAUUGUAAAGCACUUUAAGUUGGGAGGAAGGGCAGUAAGUUAAUACCUUGCUGUUUUGACGUUACCAACAGAAUAAGCACCGGCUAACUUCGUG
rnacentral:rRNA from 1 species